CAGGGAUCGAACCCGGGACUUUCUGCUCUCUGGGCAGAUGCAUUACCAGUAGAUCACAGAGGCGAUCUACAUUUUCAUCACCAAAGAAAAAGAGUUUUCCGAUGGAAAAGGUAGGUAGAAGGGAAAGCUAACACAAGAUCAUCAGGGCUCCAUCUAUGAUUUCACUGAUCCACAGGUCUGAUACGUCCCCAUGGUGAGAUUCAAUCCCAGGUACCAUCUUUUAACGUCUUUAGGUGUGAUGUGGUCGGGAAUCAAACCACUGAUGCUCUUCUCUGCAGGCAAACUAUCUAUCCACUAUCCAUGGAGGUGGUCAUUUGGAAAAAAUGAAACAAUUGGCUUAAACGCAAAGCAAAAUGACACUCAGUCGCCAGUCGUGUCAUAGUACAAAAUACAUGAUGCUGAUGGAAUGUGCAAGGAUAAGUGAUGUACUCUUGCAUUUGGGAUACAAUUGUGUGUUGUAUCCUCAUAUGCAUGUCCUGACUUUUCUUUAAUGAGGAUGAGAAAUAGCUUGAUUGUAGUUGACCCUCAUGGAUCCGGUUUAGACAGAUGUUUAUAGGACACAACAACUACGUUCAGGAAACUGUUUACAGUAGCAUGCCAAUGGAUCAUGGGUAGAAGGUCUCAGCAGAUGUGGGAUGUAAACCCAACACUAGGAACGAACACGCCCACGUGUUGAUUCAGACUGUCCUGACCUCACGCAGUGUCUGCAACUUCAUUCUGUGCCACCAUCGGCGCAACAUCACCGACAACAGAUAGCAUUUACACAUCAUGACCCUGCUGCAACGCACAAAAACAGAUGUUUUCCGGAGUGAAAAAUGUCGCGUGACAUCUGUCAACAUCAGUGACCGCAUGGAGUGGAGGGACGCUCAUAUAGUGCGACACAAUUGUACGGCACGAUAUUCUGCCCAAGUCAUGCCUCUCUCGGUGUACUUUACAACCUUAAACAUGUCGAACAUGGUACU